UACAGAGGGUGCGAGCGUUAAUCGGAAUUACUGGGCGUAAAGCGUGCGUAGACGGUCAAGUAAGUCGGGUGUGAAAGCCCCGGGCUCAACCUGGGAAUUGCAUUCGAGACUGCGUGGCUAGGGUGCGGAAGAGGGAAGCGGAAUUUCCGGUGUAGCGGUGAAAUGCGUAGAUAUCAGGAAGAACACCUAUGGCGAAGGCAGCUCUCUGGGACGGUACUGACGCUGAGACGCGAAAGCGUGGGGAGCGAACAGG
rnacentral:rRNA from 1 species